rnacentral:rRNA from 1 species
GACGAACGCUGGCGGCGUGCUUAACACAUGCAAGUCGAACGGAAAGGCCCUGCUUUUGUGGGGUGCUCGAGUGGCGAACGGGUGAGUAACACGUGAGUAACCUGCCCUUGACUUUGGGAUAACUUCAGGAAACUGGGGCUAAUACCGGAUAGGAGCUCCUGCUGCAUGGUGGGGGUUGGAAAGUUUCGGCGGUUGGGGAUGGACUCGCGGCUUAUCAGCUUGUUGGUGGGGUAGUGGCUUACCAAGGCUUUGACGGGUAGCCGGCCUGAGAGGGUGACCGGCCACAUUGGGACUGAGAUACGGCCCAGACUCCUACGGGAGGCAGCAGUGGGGAAUAUUGCACAAUGGGCGGAAGCCUGAUGCAGCAACGCCGCGUGCGGGAUGAAGGCCUUCGGGUUGUAAACCGCUUUCGCCUGUGACGAAGCGUGAGUGACGGGAAUGGGUAAAGAAGCACCGGCUAACUACGU